GGAGGCUGUCGGCGGACGGGCCCCUCGCCAAUCCGGUCAGGUCCGAAAGGAAGCAGCCGUAACGAGUUACGGCCCGGGUCGCCGGUCCAGUCUCCCGC
rnacentral:SRP_RNA from 1 species